GGGCGUGAGGCGGAAGUCGCGCAUGCGCAGUGGGGCGCAGCAGGACCGACAUCGCAAAGCAGUGCUGCAACAUCCAGCGAGUCGGGACGCCGAGGUUCAUCUCCACCGUGUGUCCAUCUGCGGCUUUCAUCUGGAGGACAGCAGUGGAGACGUGAUUAAAUAACAGCACGGGAAUAUAUUCAUAGCCGCCAUGUCUGUGGGGAGCGACUUUGGAAACCCUUUACGGAAAUUUAAACUUGUUUUUUUAGGCGAACAGAGCGUUGGAAAAACAUCUCUGAUAACACGGUUCAUGUACGACAGCUUUGACAACACUUAUCAGGCGACCAUCGGGAUCGACUUCUUAUCGAAAACCAUGUACCUGGAAGAUCGAACGGUGAGGUUACAGCUGUGGGACACAGCAGGCCAGGAGCGUUUCAGGAGCCUCAUCCCCAGCUACAUACGAGACUCUACUGUGGCCGUGGUGGUGUACGACGUCACAAAUGUGAAUUCCUUCCAGCUGACCUCCAAAUGGAUCGAAGACGUCAGGACGGAGAGAGGAAGCGAUGUCAUCAUCAUGCUGGUCGGCAACAAGACAGACCUGGAGGAGAAGAGACAAAUCUUGGUGGAGGAAGGCGAGCAGAGGGCUAAAGAGCUGAACGUGAUGUUUAUUGAGACGAGCGCUAAAACCGGAACCAAUGUGAAACAGUUGUUUCGGCGAGUCGCUGCUGCUCUGCCCGGAAUGGAGAAUCUGGAUGAGAUGAACAAGGAGGGCAUGAUUGACAUCAAGCUGGAUAAAGUGCAGGAACCUCCUGCCAGCGAGAGCAGCUGCUCAUGUUAGUACAGUGCCCCCUCAUGGACACCUCCACUCACACACCUGCUCGUUCUGUUGCUUCCCGUGGCUCAGCAUCCCGACCAGACGCAGGCUUCCUACAUCCGACUGAGCUGAAAUUUUCUACAUGGAAUGAGAUUUGGAACAGGAAGUACAGCAACAGCAGUGCGUAGGGUCAUUUCUUUAUUCUCACAAUGCAUGUCGGCCGAGUUCUGGAGUCAGUCACGUCCUCUGGUCCCCUGCGUAUCGUCGGCAAUUACACAAAAGACUUCCGACGGCCGCACUAAUCUUUAACGCCGCGAUAAGGACUCACCUUGCACCGAUUUGAU